GGAAGGCCGGUUUGGUAGGGACCGUUAUGGAAUAGCAAGCGAAUUUGAUCUCUGGCGAUAUUUUCGGGAUUUGAGGGUAUUUUGGGUAUUUCGAAUGAAAAAAAAUCGGCAUUAAAUAAAUUUGUUUAUUUCCUUCUAUGUGGAGUCCUACUUGCUCCAUAAAUAGGCUUCCACCAAGAUUUUGUGAGUUGCUGCCCCUCGUCGUUCUCAAAUCCUACGGUGCUCUCGUUGUCGUCGCAGUUUCGGUGAUGCACUUCGUCCCAACCUCACCUCCAAGAUUUGUGCUAUAUUUGACCGACGUCGGCGUAGAUAUCGGCAAGUGACCUCUUCCUCGCCCUCCGUCGCAAUUGCUCUCCCCGUCUCGAUGCGCUCUCUCUCCUCAUCAUCUUCAAAUCCUAUGAUGCUUUUGUCAUCGUCGUUGUUCCAGUUAUGCACUCCAUCGUAAUUUCACCUCCGCGAUCUGUGCUAUAUCCGAGCCAGCAUCGGCGUAAAUAUUGACAAGGUAUGAAAGCCGAGUAUUGCAUCGAUUGGGGGGGCGAGUAGAGAAAGAGAAGAAGGGAAAAGGAAGUGGAAGGAGAGGGAAAGCAAGAAACAAACGAAGAAGUGAAAGGACAAAGGAGUAAAAAUGUAAAAAAAAAAAAAACAAUAUUUUGGUCAGUUUACUAAAAAAUUUUAUUUCAGUAUGUUCUCCCUUCUCAUCGUCUUCAAAUCCUAUAGUGCUCUCGUUGUCAUCACCGUUUUGGCCAUGCGCUCCGCCACAACCACACCUCCGCGAUCUGUGUUAUAUUCGAGCAAGCAUCAUGGGCGUAGAUGUUGGCAUAAGAGAGCGGAGCAUUGCAUUGAUGUAGGGGCGGGUGGAAAAGGAGGAGAAGGGAAAGGAAGUGGGAAGAGAAGGAAAUAAAGAAACAACUAGAAAAAGGGAGAUGAAUCAUGAAUCAAGACCGAAAGAAGAAAACGAAAAAAAAAAAAAAGGAUAGAGAAAAGAAUAAAGGAUUUCUAAGAUCGUGGAGGUGCGACGAGGUGAAGUGUAAUGGAUUUGGAGUCGAUGAGGGUGGAGUCGAUGAGGGGGGAAAAGCGGUGAGUGCAGGGGAAUCCGUACGGCAUUAAUGUGGUCGUUACGAAGGAGAAGCUCAACGCCGACGGUGAAGGCGACGCGAAUAACGGGAAUCACCUCUGCGAUCUCAGCAGCGCAAGUUGCGUAUAAAGUAGUAACUCUAUUACCACUUCUUUCAUUAUUGCUACGUAUAAUUUAUUAGCUAUUAUAAAUUUUGCUAUAUUUGUACAUAUCUGUUUUGUAUUUUUUAUUUAUAUUUAUUGAUGUCUCAUGAUAAGUUAAAAAAUUUUAAAAAUUUUAA